GGUGGCGCUGGAUAGGGGAUUACAUGUGCAGAGAAGAUGGAGGAAUCACAACCUCCCCUCGCGGCCACGAGACAGAAUGGCGCAUACUGCGCUCCACAGAUGGCGCUGUUUGCAUCUGCACCGGUCAGCGCUACAGAAAGGAUUAUCUCAUUAGCAACGCAAGUUCGCUCGUUACCGCCGCUACGGACGUGUCAGCGGCCGUCUGGGAUACAGGUGAGUCUUAUACAGG